rnacentral:rRNA from 1 species
AAAUAGAUACCCGGGUAGUCCACGCCGUAAACGAUGAGUGCUAAGUGUUGGGGGGUUUCCGCCCCUCAGUGCUGCAGCUAACGCAUUAAGCACUCCGCCUGGGGAGUACGGUCGCAAGACUGAAACUCAAAGGAAUUGACGGGGGCCCGCACAAGCGGUGGAGCAUGUGGUUUAAUUCGAAGCAACGCGAAGAACCUUACCAGGUCUUGACAUCCCGGUGACCACUAUGGAGACAUAGUUUCCCCUUCGGGGGCAACGGUGACAGGUGGUGCAUGGUUGUCGUCAGCUCGUGUCGUGAGAUGUUGGGUUAAGUCCCGCAACGAGCGCAACCCUUAUUCUUAGUUGCCAUCAUUCAGUUGGGCACUCUAAGGAGACUGCCGGUGAUAAACCGGAGGAAGGUGGGGAUGGACGUCAAAUCAUCAUGCCCCUUAUGACCUGGGCUACGACACGUGCUACAAUGGACGGUACAAACGGUUGCCAAACCGGCGAGGGGGAGCUAAUCCGGAUAAAACCGUUCUCAGUUCGGAUUGUAGCUGCAACUCGCUACA